CAUUUGAGAAGCUUUCUCAUGCUCAACGGCAGGAAGCAGCCCAGCUGAGGCGUGAGGACAAACGACGUCAAGAAAAGGAACGUCUGAUGAACGAAGAUGAUCCGGAAAAAGCUCGGAAAAUUGAAGAUAAACAGUACAAACAAGACAUGAAACGUCGCCUUGGUGCUAGACAAAAACAAGUGAAGAUUCGCUAAGCUUAUUGCCGUUUUAUAUGCAUUACUUAAAUGUAAAUUCAAUUGAAUGAGUGGGUUUUGUUUGGCAGAAACCCAACAGCAACCAUCAAACUAAUUUAACUACUAUUAAUUUUAAUAAAACAUGCAUCCUCAAAUUAAUUUCACUAUUGUGGACCUGUGAGCAGGCAAAAAUCUUCCAGAAAUUAAUCCAUCUCCCAAAAAUAUUUGAUGUAUGUUUUUACCACUGUAUUAUGUAUUAUGCAAUAUUUGGUGUAAAGAAACAGUAGGGAGCUCUCGAUUGCACAGUAGGAUGUCGAAUGUAAUGACAUCACUAAAAGUCAUCUGCUCAUGCGAGAAUGUUAGGUUCUCCUUGUCGCGUGGAUUCUAGGAUGCAAUUUGGCCAAAUGCAGAGAACGUAUGACGCCCAGUAGAACGGUCACGCAUGAGUGAUUUUGUUCUAGCGUUGUGUUGUUGAACAAAUCAAAAGCUCCCAAUCAAGAGCUCUUGGCUUAUCCCAACUUGGGACCCUUGUACACUGUAAUGCUGUUGUUUAUUUUACAAUUGCAGUUUCAAAAAUAUGGACAUUAAUUGUGCCCUUUAUAGUAUCAUUACUUUAUAUUAUCGUAUUAUUAUUUAAAUUAUAAUAAAUCUGGGGGUUUUUUUUGUUUUUUUUUUGUUAAAUGCCACACUCUGGAAAAGCUGACAUCUUUAGAUAAAUAAUUUUCUUCUGUAAUUUGUGUGAACUUCUGGCUGUGUUCUUUUUAAUGUCAUUUUUUACUGUACCAGUACAUAUAGCAAAAUUAUAAGGUGCUCCUAACAUGGGAUGUUACUUACGUUUCAUUGAAAUGGUCUGUUUUCAACCCUUUAAAUAAAAUUAAUGUACUUGUGUUGUGCUAAAGAUUCUGUGGGACAUAGACAUUUAGAAUUUGUUGAAUAGCUUUUGUCAUAAGAAACAAUGUGUCUUUCACAAAGCUCUACUUCACCAAAAGUUUGGUCAAAUAUUUGAUAGUCUAUGCCUACUUGUUUUAGGUAUACACUAUUUGUCUGUGGAUAUUUUUUUUUAGAUGGGGAAUUAUAGUCUAAUAUAGUCAUGGGUUUUGUAAGUACAGUAAUUUAUAGGACGUUGGAAAAAUGUAUGUUACAGAGAAGUUUUGAUUCAGAAGUCAUUCUAAAAUGUUCUCAUGAUAAGUUAUCUUCUUUAUACUAAAUAUAACUGAAUGGGCAAUCUG